UUUUAAAAUAAUGAGGCCAGAUUCCACUAUGGCAUAACUCCACCCUCUGUGAUGAGCUUCCACCAGGGAGGGACUGGUCCCAUUUAAGCUAAGAAGCUCUCCGAUGGAAGGAGAUAGAUGGCUCUGUACCUCGACUCCCGCCUCCUCCUGCUGCAGGGAUCUAGACAUGCCUGGACUGGACCCCUUGAUGUCUCUGGGCCAUAACCAAAAGGGAACCCGAAACGAUUAGCUCACUGAAGCACAGCACAGAGUUACCAACCCAUCAUGGGAAGAAAAGGGAAGCACCGGUACCACAGCAUUGCUCAAGGAUUUGCAGACAUGCUCCCUACCAAAGGGGUGCCAGUCUAACCAGGAUGGCAUGGAGGACAGAUGUUGCACUGGUGGCAGUACCAGGCUCCACAAAUCAAAACAGAGAAUAGUGCUAUUUGCUUUGGAUUUUGUUGUGUAGAUACCUAUUCACCAGGAACUGGACUGAAUCCUGACAAACACAUCUAGAGUUACAGAGUUUAAGCCCAGCAGGGACAAACUGUGGACAUCCAGUCUGACCACCUGCCUAACUCAGGCCUUAGUUUUCAGCUAGUAAUUUCUGCACUGACCCUGAUAAUGUCUUGAUUUGAAGGCUCCAAGUGACAUAAAAGCUGUUGCUCAACUAUUCCAAUGGUUAGUUACGCUCCCACUUUCCACUUUAUUUAGGUCACCUUCUUCUGCUUGUCUGGGAGCCGGACAUGGCAGGUGUAAUUCUGGGAGAAUCUUUUCAAACCCAAUUGCAACCUUCAGUGCAAAGAGCUCUGGUGAAGAAGAGGGGGAGGUGAAUGAAGGUGGGAGGGUCAAUACUGCAUUGCAAUUAGCGCGCGGUAGUGGACAGGGCAUAGAAUGGGAGAUUAGGACUCCUGGACAGUUUUAUGACUUACUGGCUAUGAGAUCCCACAUAAGUCAGUAAGGGCCAGAUUUUAAGGUAUUUAGACACCUAAAGGUGCAUCUAUGAGCUUACAGGAUUUAGUCACCUAACCUACCACCAGGUAUCCAUUUAGUCCUUCACCUCUCUAUACCACAUUUCCCCUCUCUUAAAUGAAAGGGCCAAAAAUCAUGGCUCUCCCUCCUUUCAGAUUGACACAUAAAAAGUGCUUCAUAGGCAGAUUGUAUUAUCAGCACUGGAAACAUCACAGGGUAGUCCUCCUCCAGUGGUAGGCUGUUCCAGCAGGAAGCUUAGGACUGGUACUUGCUGUCUUUGAGAAUGCAGGCGGAUGUGCCUAACAGCAUUCCCUCUAAGCUGAGCGCUCGGGCCGCCGCCCAGCACAUAUUCAAAUGUCUCCUACCUAAUUAGCAAAGUACCCACAGCUGGCAGCCGUCAGCAGUGUGUGUUGCUACUGGUGGUGCACAUCCACACAUGCCUCAGGCCACAUAACAAAAUGUAUUCCACAUAUGGAUGGGAAAAAAUGAGAGGGAACACUGAUGUCCGAUGAGGAUGAACUAGUGGCAAUUACAUUAGUCGUCAGUGUAUAUUCCACAUGACAGGGGUCUGUGAUUUCUAAUGAAGAGAAUUAAAAAGGGUGCAUGUGAGCGGCCAUUUUUUUGUUUUUGUCCACAUCACACACACAGAGCUACUUGCACACAUACACACGGAAAACAGGUUCUGGGAAGGGGCUAAGGCUGGGGCAGUGC